UACGUAGGGUGCGAGCGUUAAUCGGAAUUACUGGGCGUAAAGCGUGCGCAGGCGGUUCGUUAAGUCAGAUGUGAAAGCCCCGGGCUCAACCUGGGAACUGCAUUUGAAACUGGCGGGCUUGAGUGUGGCAGAGGGGGGUGGAAUUCCGCGUGUAGCAGUGAAAUGCGUAGAGAUGCGGAGGAACACCGAUGGCGAAGGCAGCCCCCCUGGGCCAACACUGACGCUCAGGCACGAAAGCGUGGGGAGCAAACAGG
rnacentral:rRNA from 1 species